rnacentral:rRNA from 1 species
UGGGCGUUAAGUUGCAGGGUAUAGACCCGAAACCCGGUGAUCUAGCCAUGGGCAGGUUGAAGGUUGGGUAACACUAACUGGAGGACCGAACCGACUAAUGUUGAAAAAUUAGCGGAUGACCUGUGGCUGGGGGUGAAAGGCCAAUCAAACCGGGAGAUAGCUGGUUCUCCCCGAAAGCUAUUUAGGUAGCGCCUCGUGAAUUCAUCUCCGGGGGUAGAGCACUGUUUCGGCUAGGGGGCCAUCCCGGCUUACCAACCCGAUGCAAACUGCGAAUACCGGAGAAUGUUAUCACGGGAGACACACGGCGGGUGCUAACGUCCGUCGUGAAGAGGGAAACAACCCAGACCGCCAGCUAAGGUCCCAAAGUCAUGGUUAAGUGGGAAACGAUGUGGGAAGGCCCAGACAGCCAGGAUGUUGGCUUAGAAGCAGCCAUCAUUUAAAGAAAGCGUAAUAGCUCACUGGUCGAGUCGGCCUGCGCGGAAGAUGUAACGGGGCUAAACCAUGCACCGAAGCUGCGGCAGCGAACGUAUCACUUAAAGCGAUUCAGCGGGUUACGAUUGACGGAGCGAAGCGACGUCAAAGCGUAUACAAAGUCGAGUCGGUUUAAGGAUACGUUCGUUGGGUAGGGGAGCGUUCUGUAAGCCUGUGAAGGUGGCCUGUGAGGGUUGCUGGAGGUAUCAGAAGUGCGAAUGCUGACAUAAGUAACGAUAAAGCGGGUGAAAAGCCCGCUCGCCGGAAGACCAAGGGUUCCUGUCCAACGUUAAUCGGGGCAGGGUGAGUCGACCCCUAAGGCGAGGCCGAAAGGCGUAGUCGAUGGGAAACGGGUUAAUAUUCCCGUACUUGGUGUUACUGCGAAGGGGGGACGGAGAAGGCUAUGUUGGCCGGGCGACGGUUGUCCCGGUUUAAGCGUGUAGGUGUGUGUUCCAGGUAAAUCCGGUUCACUUUAACACUGAGGCGUGAUGACGAGGCACUACGGUGCUGAAGCAACAAAUGCCCUGCUUCCAGGAAAAGCCUCUAAGCAUCAGGUAACAUCAAAUCGUACCCCAAACCGACACAGGUGGUCAGGUAGAGAAUACCAAGGCGCUUGAGAGAACUCGGGUGAAGGAACUAGGCAAAAUGGUGCCGUAACUUCGGGAGAAGGCACGCUGACAUGUAGGUGAAGUGAUUUACUCAUGGAGCUGAAGUCAGUCGAAGAUACCAGCUGGCUGCAACUGUUUAUUAAAAACACAGCACUGUGCAAACACGAAAGUGGACGUAUACGGUGUGACGCCUGCCCGGUGCCGGAAGGUUAAUUGAUGGGGUCAGCGCAAGCGAAGCUCCUGAUCGAAGCCCCGGUAAACGGCGGCCGUAACUAUAACGGUCCUAAGGUAGCGAAAUUCCUUGUCGGGUAAGUUCCGACCUGCACGAAUGGCGUAAUGAUGGCCAGGCUGUCUCCACCCGAGACUCAGUGAAAUUGAACUCGCUGUGAAGAUGCAGUGUACCCGCGGCAAGACGGAAAGACCCCGUGAACCUUUACUAUAGCUUGACACUGAACAUUGAGCCUUGAUGUGUAGGAUAGGUGGGAGGCUUUGAAGCGUGGACGCCAGUCUGCGUGGAGCCGGCCUUGAAAUACCACCCUUUAAUGUUUGAUGUUCUAACGUGGACCCGUGAUCCGGGUUGCGGACAGUGUCUGGUGGGUAGUUUGACUGGGGCGGUCUCCUCCUAAAGAGUAACGGAGGAGCACGAAGGUUGGCUAAUCCUGGUCGGACAUCAGGAGGUUAGUGCAAUGGCAUAAGCCAGCUUGACUGCGAGCGUGACGGCGCGAGCAGGUGCGAAAGCAGGUCAUAGUGAUCCGGUGGUUCUGAAUGGAAGGGCCAUCGCUCAACGGAUAAAAGGUACUCCGGGGAUAACAGGCUGAUACCGCCCAAGAGUUCAUAUCGACGGCGGUGUUUGGCACCUCGAUGUCGGCUCAUCACAUCCUGGGGCUGAAGUAGGUCCCAAGGGUAUGGCUGUUCGCCAUUUAAAGUGGUACGCGAGCUGGGUUUAGAACGUCGUGAGACAGUUCGGUCCCUAUCUGCCGUGGGCGCUGGAGAACUGAGGGGGGCUGCUCCUAGUACGAGAGGACCGGAGUGGACGCAUCACUGGUGUUCGGGUUGUCAUGCCAAUGGCACUGCCCGGUAGCUAAAUGCGGAAGAGAUAAGUGCUGAAAGCAUCUAAGCACGAAACUUGCCCCGA